rnacentral:tRNA from 1 species
GCGGGAGUAGCUCAGUUGGCCAGAGCAUCAGCCUUCCAAGCUGAGGGUCGCGGGUUCGAGCCCCGUCUCCCGCUCCA